UUGAUUCCUAGACAUAGAAAGAGAGAUCCAUGCAGCUCCUCAUGUGAGUGAGAAAUUAAUUCAGCUGUUCCGGAACAAGAGUGAAUUCACCUUUUUGGCCACUGUACAGCAGAAGCCAUCCACUUCAGGAGUGAUGCUGUCCAUUCGAGGACUGGAGCACAGGAUUUAUGAGCGUGUGAUAGACCCUCCAGAUACCAACCUUCCCCCAGGAAUCAAUUUAUGGCUUGGCCAGCGCAACCAAAAGCAUGGCUUAUUC
rnacentral:sRNA from 1 species